GCAUGGCCUCUGGACACAGACAGCCUGGGUUUGAAUCCUGACCCUGCUGCCUUAGGGCACCAGGUCCCUGGGAACUGGAGGAUGAGUAAGACCCAGGACCGGCAGCCCCACCUGAUGGAGCACAGACUGGGGAGACCACAUUUCUGCCUCGAGGAUCAGCGACAGCUUCCUGGAGGAGACAGCUCAGGGGAGGAGCAAAGGCCACGGGCAAGUGCCUCUUCUCUCCACGCCUCAGUUUCCACAUCCACAAAUGCAGACAUGCUGAGUGCCUAGACCACAUCCCUCAGAUCUUACCACCUCAAUGUUCUCCAACCAACUUCCAGCUGCC